GUGACUAGUUCAACCCUGGGCAUAUGUAGGAGAAUUAACAUGGUUGAGUAUUCAGUUCCAUUUACAUCCUGAGACCUACCCAUUGGCAUUCUAAGUAACUGUCCAGUGUUUUUCCUGAAUUCUAGUAAAGCGUAUUCUACCAGGACUUCCUGGAGUGGAAAUUUCAAGACUUAUCCUCUGAGAAAAAAUCCUGUCCACGUAUUCAUUAGUAAUUACUGUGCAAGUCUGCAGCAUGUUUCAUCGAGGAUCUUGUGACUUCGAGAAUCAUAGAGAUUAAAGCCAGGAAGAACCACCAGAUCAUCUUGUUGGACUUCCUGUGUAUCACAGGCCACCGACACCACUCAGCCGACCUGUCCCACAGCCUAGGCUUCAGCCCACAACCAAACAUCUACAGUACAAUUUUAUAGCCCUGCAACCUGAGCCCUGUGAGCCCUAGUCAACUGACACGAGCCAGCCAUGGGUGGUUUAUUGCAGUGUAUACAUACCCUGAGAGGGUUAAGCUGCCUGACCCAAGGGCACACAGCAAGGCAGUGACAGAGUUAAGAAGAGAACCCAGGAGUCCUGACUAGCAGUCCCCUGUUCAAACCCCUAGACAACACUCCUUCCUUAUAUCAUAUAUUGUAUCAUAUAUCAGAGCAUAUCUAUCAUAUCAUAUCAUAUAAACAUUUCUAUGAACCCCUAUGUUAAAAAUAACUUUGUACAUAUCUCUGUAGGGAAUAAUAUAGAGGCAUCAUCUCCUGGGAGGAUUUUGCAGUUGUUCUGGAUGUAGUUUCUUCCAGCAGAUUUUGCUGCAGAGAAUGGGGCAGGACCACUGGCUUUCUGAGAGCUGUAAGGAAAGAGAUUGAUACCCUGGUGUGGGGGAGCUCUCAGCUACCCUAGUUGCAAUCUGUUCCAGCAGGAGUGGAUGUAGGGAAUGUAGGGGUCAGAGCACUGGCAGCAGGGGUACUCCCAGGUACUGCAGUCUCAGCUUUGCUUAGGAAGUUUCACAUCUGGAACUUGCAGUGAAACACUGCCUUGAAUUAUAAUCUUGACUUGAAAAGGCAAAUCCAAUUUUGUUUUUUUUUUAAACAUUAUUUAAUAUUUAAUAUAGAAAUUGUGGUCCCAGGGGUACAUGUCAGUUCAGUCUGAAAUGAAGGUUACUUUAGAAUUAUCAGCUGGGUUGGGUUUGUUUUCUUGUGAAACAGCAGCUGGGUGGUAGUGGAGGGAGGCUGCCCCUAUUUCUGUGAAGUUAAGAGGUUGGGGGUCGUAUAUUACAGGCCUGGGGUAAUAAGCCUGAUGAAGAUGGAGAGCGUGAAGAAAGUGUCCUGUAUUUAAGGUCCUUCAAAAGUUCAAUGAGAUUUCUGCAUCGUCUUGAACACUUUAAAACUUUCUAAAUUCAGAGACAUUAAUGAGAAACAUGAAGUUAUUAGAAUCAUUUGUCAUUUUCUUUGAAGCUUACACUGGCAUUUUGUGUAAUUUAUGACAUUUCCUCCUUUUUAUUGUGAACUUCUUCAGAUGAAGGGGAAAAGCAGCUGUUUUCCUUCAGAGUAUCUGAAAGGGAAAAAAAGAUGCUGUUUGUUUUUUGUCCAAGUAGCUGAUCCUGCUGAUGAUACGCCACAGAGAAUUGGUGCCUGGGGAGUAAUUAGACAGGGGUUUAAACCCUGGUCGAUAUGUGUCUGUUGUUGAGCUGUUGCAGCUCAGAUGUCCUGUAAUGCUCAACUACCCAUCUAGUAGCUCAUGCGGGUUAAAAUUGUGUGUUCUGAAUCUGUAACAUGUGACUGCGAAGGGAGGAUGGUCCAGUGGUUAGGGUGCUAGCCUUUGGCUUGGGAGCCUCUGUCUAAAUCCCUGAUCAGUCAUAGACUUCCUGUGUGAUCUUGGGCAAGAUACUUAGCCUCUGUUCCCCAUUUGUAAAAUGGAGAUCAUAGCACUGCCCGAUCACACGGGAAUAAGGAGAAUAAAUUCAUUCAAGAUUGUGAGGUGCUCAGGUACUACAGUGAUGUGGGCUUUAUAAGUACCUUAGAUAUACUACUGUCGCUGUUGAAUUACAUUGGGGAAGAGUAAAUCCAGAAAUGUGUGGGGUCAGAAACUCUCUUUAGAACACUUAUUACCUUGAUUGGUGCUUUGUAUGUUCAUAUACACCUGCUUCCCAACCGAGUCAAACUUCUGUUUGAUGAGAUGAGCGGGAGGUCAGUGGGAAGCUUUGCCCUUAACAUGUUGGGUCUAUUUAUCUGUUUCAUUACCUCGGCUUGUAGGAAGCAAGUAAAUACAAAAGUUUUUCCACGGCUCUGUGGCCUGUGGGUUCCACACAGCUUUUUCAGUGCAGUUCAAGUAAAGAAGAUGACAAAAGUGGGAGGUGGUUGUCAGACUGGAGGAUAGAAGGCAGCUGGAGGCUUGCUCCCAGAAGCAGAGCAGCACACCCUGUUUCAUGCUUGCAGGGUUGCUCAUGAUGUGCUAGGCUGCUGGCUUUGAACUGCAGCAUUUGCUGAUGGGGGGAACCCCCACUUGGACCUGCAAAAAGACAGAAGAAGGAAAAAGGAAGGGCAAACUUAGGGCCAACCAACCUUGACAGCAUGACCCUUAAGUAACAUUUCCAGUGGGGUUUGAUAAGUGCUUUGCAGUUUCAUGUCGAAAAGAUGAAAAUUGCUGUGACUUUUUCAUCUGGUUUCUGUGCAAGGCUCUGGAAAGUGCAUUGCAUGAAGCACCCGUUUGAUGUUUUAAUGAUAUUGCAGAAGAAUCCAUUGAGGGAGAGAGACUCACAGAUUUGACAUCCUUAAAAUGCUCGUUUAUUUGUUCCAUAACAGAGGGUACAAGUCACAUUAGUGGUAAUAGCCUCUCUCUUACUUCAGGCUCACCCUGUGACACACUUGAGCCAUUUAGAUGUGCAUUCCACAGAAAAAGAGAGCUGAUUUCAUUUAUAGUACAGUGAGUGAAGAAUCAGGCACAAUUCCCAUUUCUCCCAGUUCACUUGUCGUCCAGGAAAUUCAGCAGUAUUUCAGUGGAGCAGGGUCCAUCAGCACCUGUGUUGUGUGUUCAUAGUUUGCAAAGUAUUGGUAAAUUGGAAUACAUUUAUACAGUGCCCAGAACACACUCAGACAGUGCCUAGAAAGUUGUGUUUGCUCCAGAUGUAGUCUUUAUUUUAACAAAUAAAUGGAAUGUUACUGUUUUAAUAGUGACUUUCAUUUUGGCUUUCUGACAAUAACUAUGUAAUGUAGAAGUGGUUAAAAGUGACUUUGCAAAAUUA